rnacentral:rRNA from 1 species
AACUUUCAAACAACGGAUCUCUUGGUUCUGGCAUCGAUGAAGAACGCAGCGAAAUGCGAUAAGUAGUGUGAAUUGCAGAAUUCAGUGAAUCAUCGAAUCUUUGAACGCACAUUGCGCCCCUUGGUAUUCCAUGGGGCAUGCCUGUUCGAGCGUCAUUU